rnacentral:lncRNA from 1 species
CAAUUUUGACCCUAAGAUCCCUCAUGGCAUCAUAACAUUGCAUUUGCAUAGCCUCAAGGAUCAUGAGCAUCUUGGUUCCCUUUGCCUUUGGGUGGGACUCCUUGUGAUUAGUUUGAGUUCAAGGAUCAUGAGCAUCUUGGUUCCCUUUGCCUUUGGGUGGGACUCCUUGUGAUUAGUUUGAGAUCACCAAGCAUGCUUGAAUUAUACAUCAUUGUUUCUCUUACUUUUGUUUACUAAAAAAAAAGCGAAAUAAAUAAAUAAAUAAAUAAAAUAUAACAAAAAAAAAUUGGACUUGGGCCUCUCUCAUUUGAGCCCACAGGUCCACAAAAACCAGGUUAUAAAUUCAGAGUUUCAGUGAAACAAAAAGAGGCCAUUCCUAUUACCCUGGCAGGAAAAAGAAAGUGAGAGAAGAGCUGACAGAGUUCAGAGCAACCUCCGGAGGCAAACCCUCAGAUUGCUCUGCAAACCUCAUGGGUGCAACUCAAUUUCAAUCAA